rnacentral:rRNA from 1 species
GAUGAACGCUGGCGGCGUGCCUAAUACAUGCAAGUAGAACGCUGAAGGAAGGAGCUUGCUCUUUCCGGAUGAGUUGCGAACGGGUGAGUAACGCGUAGGUAACCUGCCUGGUAGCGGGGGAUAACUAUUGGAAACGAUAGCUAAUACCGCAUAACAGUAGAUGUUGCAUGAUAUCUACUUAAAAGGUGCAAUUGCACCACUACCAGAUGGACCUGCGUUGUAUUAGCUAGUUGGUGAGGUAACGGCUCACCAAGGCGACGAUACAUAGCCGACCUGAGAGGGUGAUCGGCCACACUGGGACUGAGACACGGCCCAGACUCCUACGGGAGGCGGCAGUAGGGAAUCUUCGGCAAUAGACGGAAGUCUGACCGAGCAACGCCGCGUGAGUGAAGAAGGUUUUCGGAUCGUAAAGCUCUGUUGUAAGAGAAGAACGAGUGUGAGAGUGGAAAGUUCACACUGUGACGGUAUCUUACCAGAAAGGGACGGCUAACUACGUG